GUAAGCUUGGGUCAUAGAGACUCAUAGGUGUUAUAAAGACUCGCUGGUGUUUGUCUCCUUGAGGCAUACGGCUUUAACCAAAACUCUCAAAGUUUGACCUCAAAUCAGGUAGGAGUACCCGCUGAACUUAAGCAUAUCAAUAAGCGGAGGAAAAGAAACCAACCGGGAUUGCCUUAGUAACGGCGAGUGAAGCGGCAAAAGCUCAAAUUUGAAAUCUGGCGUCUUCGACGUCCGAGUUGUAAUUUGAAGAAGGCGACUUUGUAGCUGGUCCUUGUCUAUGUUCCUUGGAACAGGACGUCAUAGAGGGUGAGAAUCCCGUGUGGCGAGGAUCCCAGUUAUUUGUAAAGUGCUUUCGACGAGUCGAGUUGUUUGGGAAUGCAGCUCUAAGUGGGUGGUAAAUUCCAUCUAAAGCUAAAUAUUGGCGAGAGACCGAUAGCGAACAAGUACAGUGAUGGAAAGAUGAAAAGAACUUUGAAAAGAGAGUGAAAAAGUACGUGAAAUUGUUGAAAGGGAAGGGCAUUUGAUCAGACAUGGCGUUUGCUUCGGCUUUCGCUGGGCCAGCAUCAGUUUUAGCGGUUGGAUAAAUCCUCGGGAAUGUGGCUCUGCUUCGGUAGAGUGUUAUAGCCCGUGGGAAUACAGCCAGCUGGGACUGAGGAUUGCGACUUUUGUCAAGGAUGCUGGCGUAAUGGUUAAAUGCCGCCCGUCUUGAAACACGGACCAAGGAGUCUAACGUCUAUGCGAGUGUUUGGGUGUAAAACCCGUACGCGUAAUGAAAGUGAACGUAGGUG
rnacentral:rRNA from 1 species